CUCGCAGGAGACGGCUGGGCAGAGGAACCACGACGGCCAUGCGGAAGCCACACAAGAGCGAUCCAAUGUCUCAUCUCUGCCCUCAAUCAUGGCCUCCGCUGAUGCCAAAGUAAACCCAUUCAGCUUCAGGAGGCUUUUCAGCAAACAAAGCAUAAUUUGUAUGACAGAUCUGUGUGUGACAGGUAUGACACUCCUGCUCGGUCUCACUGCCUCCCAUCUCUGCUCCAUCCAAUCUAUCUUCCAGUCCAGAAGUGAAGGUUUUGUGCCAAAAUGCAUUCACCCAUCCAAACAUUCAAUAAAUAUCUACUAAGUACCCACUAAAGGUUAGGUGUGCGUGAAGCCCUGGUGACAAAGAAAUAAAGAGACCCAGCUUCUUCCCUUAAACGCUAGUAAACGGUGCAAACCAUGGCACGGUUUGAAAAACGAGCAUGAGGACUGCCUAGGGUCCCUUUGGGAAAUGCUCAACAGAGUG
rnacentral:antisense_RNA from 1 species